AUAUGAUGAGAUGCAGCUGGCACCAGUCAGAGGGAUGAUGGAUACGUCUGUCAUCCACUUGCUGAGUAGCUUUACGGCCGGCAAAUAUACGCAGCUGGUCCUGAA
rfam:Penicillium oxalicum 114-2 unplaced genomic scaffold scaffold_8, whole genome shotgun sequence.